rnacentral:rRNA from 1 species
AGCGAACGCUGGCGGCAGGCCUAACACAUGCAAGUCGAACGAACCUUUCGGGGUUAGUGGCGGACGGGUGAGUAACACGUGGGAACGUGCCUUUAGGUUCGGAAUAACUCAGGGAAACUUGUGCUCAUACCGAAUGUGCCCUUCGGGGGAAAGAUUUAUCGCCUUUAGAGCGGCCCGCGUCUGAUUAGCUAGUUGGUUGAGGUAAUGGCUCACCAAGGCGACGAUCAGUAGCUGGUCUGAGAGGAUGAUCAGCCACAUUGGGAAUGAGACACGGCCCAAACUCCGACGGGAGGCAGCAGUGGGGAAUCUUGCGCAAUGGGCGAAAGCCUGACGCAGCCAUGCCGGGUGAAUGAUGAAGGUCUUAGGAUUGUAAAAUUCUUUCACCGGGGACGAUAAUGACGGUACCCGGAGAAGAAGCCCCGGCUAACUUCGUG